AACUUCCUGACUUACUGCAAAUGCACCAGUUUCUGACAUUUUCCCUGAAUUCAAUCUUCCAUUAUUGUUGCCUGAUGUCACCAAUGUAUAUUUUGUUUAGCCAGUUUCUUAAGAAAUGAAGCAUAUAGUUGAUCAUUAUAAAUCAUGCUAAUCUGAAGAGAAUUAGAAACUGGCAAGAUCAAACUUAACUACAAUGUCCAUCCCUUGUAGUUGUUGAUAUCUGCUGCUUGGAAAUUUUGGAGAAAGCAGGAAGGUGAAGAAUGAAGAUUGUAUACUUAAAAAGCAGGUAUAAUACAGCAUGCCUGGAGGGAGAUUGAAAAUCUGGUUGAGUGGUGACAGAACAACCAUCUCUCACUCAGCAUCCGCAAAACCAACUACAGAAGGAAGAACCCUGAAUUCCAUGAACCAGUCCUCAUUAAGGGAACAAAGGUGGAGACGGUCAGUGGAUUUAAAUUACUUGAUGACAACAUAUCAAAGGAUCCGUGCUGGGACCAGCACGUAAGUGUCAUCACAAAGAAGAUAUGACAGUACCUCUACUUCCUUAAAAGUUUGCAUAGAAUUGGCAUGUCACCAGAAACUUGACAGUCUUCUGUAGGGGCACAGUGUAGAACAUUCCAACUAGUUGCAGCACUGCCUGGAAUGGAAACACCAGUGCUCAGGAACAAAUGAAACUGCAGAAAUAAAUGAAUGUAGGCCAUUCCACCCAGUCCAUGACAAGCAAAGCAUCCCCUCCCCCAACACACACACACACACACACACACACACACACACACACACACACACACACACACACACACACACACACACACACACACACACACACACACACACCAUUUUCAUGGAGGGCCACAGCAAGAAAAUGGCAUCCAUCAUCAAAACCUCCCCCAUCUAGGCCAUGCCCUCUCCUCACAUCUCUCUUCUUUCUUACCAUUGAGUAGGAGGUACAGAAACCCUGGGACCCACACUACCACGUUCAAGAACAAUUAUCCUAUAACCAUCAGGCUCCUGAACCAAUGUGGAUAACUUCAUUCACCACUAGUCUGAACUGAUUCCAUGAUCUACAGACUCACUUGAAGGGAUUUUUUACAACUCAAGUUUUCAGUAUUAUCUUCAUUACCAUUUGCCGCCUUUUCCAGUUGUGUUUUCCAGUGUUUGUCUGUUUAUGUAUAGUUUUUUAAAACAUUCUAUUGUAUUUGUUUUCUUCCUGUAAAU